GACGAACGCUGGCGGCGUGCUUAACACAUGCAAGUCGAACGGAAAGGCCCUGCUUUUGUGGGGUGCUCGAGUGGCGAACGGGUGAGUAACACGUGAGUAACCUGCCCUUGACUUUGGGAUAACUUCAGGAAACUGGGGCUAAUACCGGAUAGGAGCUCCUGCUGCAUGGUGGGGGUUGGAAAGUUUCGGCGGUUGGGGAUGGACUCGCGGCUUAUCAGCUUGUUGGUGGGGUAGUGGCUUACCAAGGCUUUGACGGGUAGCCGGCCUGAGAGGGUGACCGGCCACAUUGGGACUGAGAUACGGCGCAGACUGCUACGGGAGGCAGCAGUGGGGAAUAUUGCACAAUGGGCGGAAGCCUGAUGCAGCAACGCCGCGUGCGGGAUGACGGCCUUCGGGUUGUAAACCGCUUUCGCCUGUGACGAAGCGUGAGUGACGGUAAUGGGUAAAGAAGCACCGGCUAACUACGUG
rnacentral:rRNA from 1 species